CCGGUUGUGAUAUCACAAGAGCGGCCAAGCACCAUGCCUGAACUAGAUCAGGACGUUCCAACUGUGCAGCAACGUUUGCAUUAUAUUGGCACAUUGCUGGAAUAUCAGUGAUGUUGAUGCUGAAGAUCAAACAAAUAAGGAAUUUGGAUACAUGUGCAUAAAAUGUUCUCCAUUGCCAAUUCCAUUUCCCAACGCGGAGAGUGCUCUAGGUGUUGUACUCUCAGGUUUCAUCGACGACUUUCUGGUGUACGAGGCACGACCAAAACAUACAAGAAUACCUAUUGAAACACUGAAUUGAGUCCUGGCACACAUGUUUCGAUGACACUAAUUAUUUACAUACCCACGCAACAAAACUUUGCUCCAGAUGUCCGAGGGAACGGACAGAAUUGGAAUGUAGGUUGCGCGCUGUACGGAUAAUUUGCAGGAAAAUUUACUUUCAAUAUUACAUUAUAAAUUUUAUUGGAAGCUGUUACGGUGCAACUACGUUCCACCGCAUCCAUGGUGUUAACCUAAAAUGGCAAAAAGAAAUUUACCUUGACGCAUUACUACGUAGUGCAUAUAUAUGUACCUCGAUAUUUGGAUUUAAUGUAGGUUCGUCCACUUUUGUCGUUAUACAGUUCAUUUUACGAUCGUUCUGAGCGUCGUUAAGUUGUAUUUGAACAGACUGUAGUGUUCCUGUAUUAAUAAUAAAUGUAUUAAUAUAACGAGA